rnacentral:rRNA from 1 species
UACGUAGGGGGCAAGCGUUGUCCGGAUUCAUUGGGCGUAAAGAGCUCGUAGGCGGCUUGGCAAGCUGGGUGUGAAAACUCCAGGCUCAACCUGGAGACGCCACCCGAUACUGCCAUGGCUUGAGUCCGGUAGGGGACCACGGAAUUCCUGGUGUAGCGGUGAAAUGCGCAGAUAUCAGGAGGAACACCGGUGGCGAAGGCGGGUCGUCUGG